GGGGUUGGUGGGACAGCACCGUGUAAGGCAGACAUGUCGGGGGUCCGGGUGGUGUCGCGGCUCCUGGGCGCCCGGCGCCUGGCACUGACUAGGGCGGUGAGUCGGCGCCGUGGGGCGGGCAGGGCGCGGGGAGCCGAGGAGGGGCAGGACUUCCCACGGGGCGGAGCGGACGCCGAGUCCCCCCGGCGCCGGACCGGGACGGGGUCGCGAGGGUCUGGGGGAGGAUGCGGUGAGGAGGCCGCCCGAAGGGGUGGGGCCGACCCGGAGGGCCGCGGGACUCCUUCUGAAGCCAGCGAGUCGCGUCCCGGUGAAGGUCAUGACCCCGCUUGCCGUCCCCGGGGACCCUUCCCCAGAGUACUAAGGUCGCCCCCGCCCCAGCCUUCGGCGCGUGGGGAGGCGUGUUUGCCCGAGGUCACCCUGACAGGUGGCGGCCCGUGGGUGCCCCGGGCCUCUGAAUCCAAAAGCGCCCUUAGAUCUCCGGCGGAGGCGGGCCGGCAACCGCAGGCGCGCGCCGGCCGGGCGCUGUGCCGAUCGCCCUGGGGACGGUCCGUCGGGUGCCAGCAGCCCCGAGGACCCGGCCGGGCUCGGCCCUCCCGCCCCAGGCAGGGUAGGUGGGAGGCACGUCUGACACCGGCGCUGGCGCUUGCCUGGCAACUGUUUGCAAAACCGCGCUUCUUCGGGGAAAGCGAAGACCCGUGUUUCACACCGGGAUCUGGCAACUUUUGGACCUUCAUUUUGGGUUUUGUAUGGUGGCCUUUUGCGCACAUUAGAAAACCAGGCGAAGAACGUCAGCGCUCUGACCGCAGACCACGUUCGGGCGACGGCGCCGGGAAGUCUGAUUUCCCGUGCGUUGUCUGCCCGGACUCCGGUCAGUCGUGGAUGACCGUCAGGGUUGUGCCUUCUGGAGCCCUUGCUUACCGGAUUGUGUCAGAUGUACUCCUUACAGUUACGUCUUCAGGAUCUACCUUUUCAGGUUUUAUUUCAGCACACUAAACUUGGAGGGGUUGUUGUUUGGGUUCUUUUAUAUGAUCCGCCUGCCCACCUACUUAGUAAUGUAAUUACAGAGUGAAAAUCCCAGUGGGAACCGAGGCAUUCAACAGUAUUGACAGGAGUUAUGCCUGUAGUUAUACCUGCAAUUUUCUCCAUUUUGAAAUACAGAUACUAAAAAUUAAGUUAAAUGUGAGAAGGUUAACUCCGCCAUCCUGCCAAUGCCAGAGAACGUUUUCAAUGCUUUCUCGUGCUGCUGUGGUUGAUGCUUCCUGAGCAGAGGUCCCCACUCUCCACACCCCACCCAUCUUGGGCUCUAAGUCCACAAGCUGGAUGGGCAGUGGGAUAUUCUUCGGCAAACGUGAGCAGACUUCUUAGUGCCUCCUGCUUGUUAAGUGCAGUGACCAGUAACUGGUGGUGCUGGGAGAAGAGCUAAACAUGUGUGUCCUCGGUCACCCCAGCGUUCUUGUGCAGACUAAGACCCCUCCAGUCUGUGGAACUCCCUUGACCACCUGCCUGCCCUUUGUUUAUGACCUUGUUGUCCUUUAUGUAAACUGGACUAGAAUUCUAGCUCUGAGCUCUGAGCUGCAAGUGAGAAUAAGAUUCUGAGCACCACUGGUCAGAGUGUGUAAACCUGUACUUUUGUAUUGGCUUGAUUGGAAGUUAUCUUGGUUGAAUCAACUAUUAGCUGCCAGCAUUUACCCUUCUUUUUACCUUGAUGAAGAUAGCUUUUCCUGUGGAAAUUAAUUCUGCCCCCAAGCAGUAUAUGUAGUGGAAUUUAAGAUUGGCAAAAACAAAAGCAUCAACUUAGAACAACAACAACGAAAUGUAUGAUCACCAACUGAGAAAUGUGCACGGAGAGUAGAUGAUGAGGGUAGUUUGAAUAAAAUCCACAGAGAAUUUUUCUUGAUUUCAUUUUGUUCAAUUCUCUGGUGUUUCCAAGGCAGUUUAUAUUUACAGCUGCUUUCAAGUUGCAAAAUCAUCAAACCUAUUUUGCGUUGGUUUCAUUUUUAGUUAUCUUAAUGCACUGACAUAAUUUGCAGACUGUUCUGGUGUAUUGAAAGGAAAAGUAAAAGCAAGGUCCUUAAAUAGUUGCUGGUUAAUUGCUUCAGAUGAGAUUUUUCAAAUUCUUUAACAUGGAUAUCCAAAGUACUGUUCUAGAGUAAGUCAGUUUUUCUUUGAAUGUAUUGUUUUGAAUUUGGCUUAAUGAUGUAUCUAGAAUUACAUUAUUUAGGCCAUUGUGGUAACCUUUUUUGUUUUCCUUUUUGGGGUAAUUGUACCGCUGUGGCAUUCAUUUCUGCAUUCUGUGGGAUGUUUUUCCUGGUUCACUGGAAAAAUUGUGGCUUGGUUUUGAUACGUAAUCUGGAUAUGCAUCUUAUUUUGGAGUCCCAGAGAUUUUUCCUAAGGCUCCUUACCUAGGGGGGAUGUACUGAAUCUGGUACCAGCCAGGCAGACCAGAGUUCAGACCCUGGAUAGACUCCAUUUCUCUUUCAUGAGGGUUCUGGGAGGUAGCCUGUGACGCCCUGGUGUGGUGAUCAUUCUAGCCAGGACCUACACCUACAGCCUGUGCUCGAUAAUCUUGUGAAUUGUAUUCUAAGCAUCCCUGUUUUAAAAACCUUUAAACUUCUAAUGAAAAUAAUUACACAUAGUUAUAAAAAAAAAAGUCAAGGAAUACAGAGGCUUUAUAAAUGAAAAGGAUUGAGACCCUCUCCUAACCUCAGACCUGUUCCCCAGUGAAAUCACUUCUGAAUUGUUUCUGUUAUUGGCCGCUGGUGUUUACCUCCAUGUCUCUAGCUAAUGUGCAGGCUUACGUUCAUCCAUUUUGGACUUUGACUUGUGGCUCUGAAUGAGGACUCAGUUCGCUUAAACCAUCUUCCCCCAUCCUCAGUUCUUCCCAUGGCCUUCCAAGGCACUUUCAGAGCCUUUAUGGGCUGCUUUUCUUAUUAUACAGAUUGUACUUACAAAUAGUUUCUUGUCUGCAAUUCAUAGGUGAACGCUAUCAGAUGGGGACCUGUACUUCGCUAGAUUAAGGGUUUCAAUAUCUCUGCCCUUCUCUUCAGUUUUCUCCCUUUUACCAUUUAAGUCAUUCACUUGUGCUUUCAUGUCAUUAAAAGCUCUGUUUCUUUUAAUUCUGCCUCCAAGGCAGAUUUCCUCACGCUUCUUUACGUUUCCCUGUUGGAAAAUGUUUGAUAGUUUUACUUCAAAAAAUGUUAAAUAGUUUUAUUUAUAGACAAAUUGGGUUAAUUUUGGGCUCUCCAGAUUCUAAAAUUGCUCCUCAAAUCCGAUUUGGAUAAAAAGCUAGUAUUCUAUUUUCCACAGGGAGAUAGUAUGAUAAUUUGUUAGAGAUUUCAUUUUAACAGCUGCCAGUGUUUGAGAUGGCCGUGUGUGUCUAUCUUUAUUUAACGUGAACAUCCUAGAAAGAAGAAAUAAAUACUUAGGGAAUCUCACUGUUACUAUUUUACUUUUUUACAGUUCAACUUAAGCAGGUAAGUUUAAUGAUCAGAACAAAAAUGGGAUCGCUUAGGAAAAACUAUAUAAAAGACGCUUUACAGUAUAAUAUGUCCUUUUCAUGUUGAUUAUUUUUAUAGGAUUUAAUAUGUGAUUAUUCUUCAGUUUUCUGAAUUAAAAUUGUUCAGGUGGCCAUAAAAUCUGGAAACAUAGACAAAUAUACAUAAUAAAUAGUUUACUCAUAUUCCAACAAAUGUUCAAUGAAUGUGCUGUUCCUCAUUAGCAUUUCAUACUUUAACAAGUUAUGCAAAACUGCAUGUGCACCAAAGCACUAUUUCCAUCAAUCCUCGUACAUCCACCUACAACGAAUCGCUUGUGGGGAUUUGUGUGUCUCACUUUCCCUGAAUAAACGUGUGCCUUUAGCACACCCAAGGUGUAAUUAAGGAAGAAGUGUCUGUCAUCUGUGUUUCUGGAUUGUGUGGUCCUGUUUUUGGUUUUGUUUUUUUUUUUAAGUUUCACCUACUAUAAGUCUUAAAAACAUUUUUGACCAUUCGUAUUAUACCAAGAAAAAAGAUGAAUACUAAAUACAAGCUAAUGGAAAAACAAAAAUUCAUUUGUUUUACCUUUCUAUUCCACAUCACAACAUUUUACUGAAAAUGAAGGGAUUUUUCAUCUAUAGAUAAAAGACUCUAAAUGGUACUUAGGUUGUUUUACAAGUUUGAUUUUAAAAUCGUUUAGAAUUCACAAUGGGUCUUACACACAAUGAUUUCAAUAAAUCAGGCACUCCAGAGCACAAUUGGAGGUGUAACAAUUAUGUGAUGACUUCUUAACAGUCCAAGGAGAUAAAGACCUUUUUUUCAAAUAUGGAAAGAAAUUAAUCUUUCUGCAGUAUUAACCCCUAAAAGCUAUCUUCCUUUAUAGACUACAAUAUUAUUGUCAAUUUAAUAUACUUUUAUUUUUUUUAAUCUUAUUUUUAAUGUUUGUUUUACUUUUGAGAGACACAUCCAGUGCGAACGGGGGAGGGACAGAGAGAGAGGGAGGCGCAGAAUCCUAAGCAGGCUCCAGGCUCUGAGCUGUCAGCACAGAGCCUGAUGCAGGGCUUGAACCCAUGAACCGUGAUAUCAUGACCUGAGCCGAAGUCAGAUGCUUAUCUGACUGAGCCACCCAGGCACCCCCAUAUACUUUUAAAAAGAACUCCCAGAGGAAGAAAUUUCUGGAGGUUUUCCCAAAUAUAUACAGCUACUUUUUCUGUCAUGCUUACAACAUCUGCAAAGUACGGAAUGUUCAAAUGCAGAUUCUUAUGAUCAAGGGGCUCCAUAAUUGCCUCCUCCAUAUACUCUUUGAGGUCAGUCACUUUCAUAACUAUUCCUGUAAUAGGAUCAAUCUCUCCAUGUACUGUCACCACAACUUUAUAAUUGUGCACGUGGCCAUUUGGAUUGUUGGCAUUCCCAAACAAUUUCAAGUUUUCUUCAUUACUCAGAGAUGUGCUGUGGAGCCAGUAGGUCGCUCUGAGGGAGAUGAGGUGGGACAGUUGCGUGGUGUUCUUGGCUUGCCUUCCCACUUGGUUGGUGGUGGGGCUGGGACAGGCUCUCUGUUUCUAUUUUGAUUUCAAUUUGGUAUUGUAAAAUGUAUUGUUCUUUUUUGGAACUAUUACCUUUAUCUUGUACUUCAUUAAAAUUUCAUGAACAUUUGUAUUUUGCUGACUUGGUUAUUUGUUAAGAUGUGAUUUUUACCAUUUAAAAAUUAUACUAAAGCAGAAGAAUAUUCUUUUUAAGUUUUUUAAUUCGUUUACUGGACAAAAAGUUGACUUAUGUCAAUAAAAACAAAAGUACUUAUGGGCGCUUGGGUGGCUUAGUCGCUUAAGCAUCUGACUUUAGCCCACAUCAUGGUCUUGUGGUCCAUGAGUUCGAGCCCUGUGUUGGGUUCUGUGCUGACAGCUAAGAGCCUGGAGUCUGCUUCAGAUUCUGUGUCUCCCUCUCUCUCUGCCCCUCCCUGGCUUGUGCUCUCUCUUUCUCAAAAAUAAAUAAACAUUAAAAAAUACAUAUAUACUUAAAGUUGAAAUUGGAGAAUUCAAGAAUAUUGCAUUUAUCAGUUCAGGUCUACUUAGAAAUUCAAGAAACUUCUUUGUAAUUGGAACUGUUAGCAUAAAGUCAACUAUUUGUGGCAGGCAUCAUUUGGUCUCAGUGCUUAAGAAAGUCUAAAAAAAUAUUUUUAAGUUAUUCUUGAGAGAGAGAGCGAGAGGUGGGGAGGGGCAGAGAGAGAGAGAGGGAGAGAGUGAGCAUCCCAAGCAGGCUCUGCACUGUCAGCACAGAGCCCAGAUGCAGGCCUAGAACUCAUGAACUGUGAGAUCGUGACCUGAGCCAAAACCAAGAGUCAGUUGCUUAACUGACUGAGCCACUCAGGUGCCCCUAAAUGCUAAAGAAAGUCUAGAGGUUGGAGCCACCUGCUCCAUUUGCAAGCGGCCAAGCCCUCCAGCCUGGCCUGAGGCCAUUAAUCUUCAAAGAAAGUCCUUCUGUUCAAAACCACUCAGAGUUCAUUUUGUAUUUUGCCAAAUUCUCCUCCCUGAAUUCUCCACUUGUUUGUCCUACAGAAUAAUUUUUUUACCCCACAGAAUAAAUAGCAUCUCUUCCAAACUGCAGAAUACUCGAAGACAUCUCUCAUAUCCCCUUUGUCAUUGUUAAACAUACUUAAUUCCUAAAACUGUUCAUGAAAUUGCUAAGACUUCAUUUUAUCAGUAGCCGUCUAAAAUGCAGUCAUAGAACAGAAAGACAUGCCUUAUAAGUUGGUUUUCAUAUAAAGAAGAUGGCCCCUCAGGCUGGGCUGUGAUUUCAUUAAUACCAAUUUUCUUGAGUAAAUGUGUUCAUAGGGUGGAACAUUUAAGCCAAAACUUGGAGAGUUGGAGAGAUUAGCCAGGGAAUGGCCAGGGACAAGUGUUCAGACAGGGAACAGCACCCUGGAGUAUGACAGAGGAGAGGGGAUGUGGCUACAGCCCAGCGCAGGUGUGGAGAGUGGUGAAGCAGGAGCAUCUCUAGGCCUGGAGUCUUCACAUUCACAGUGAAGGGUUGGUCCCGCUGGUACCCAGUGUCAGGGUGAGCAGUAGAGCCUCUUGUAGAAGAUGGAUCUCCCAAUACACUGUCCCAGGCCUUUUCCAGUGAACCACAAAACCUUGCAGACGUGUGGUGCUAUAGUGUGAAGAGGGUCAUGAUGGAUCCAGUAAAAGUGCUUCAUUGUAAACUACCACUUUCACAAAAUAGAUGGGUUUCCCAUUGUCCACUAAAAACCAUAAAUUAAGAAAUGAACGUGACAUUGUGUCCUUUUCAUUUCCUGCUGAGUCUGUGAGUGUCCUGCUUGGAGACAAGCUUCAUCUAGAAGAGCUUUUCUCGGAGUGCCAACUCCUUGCCACUUGGGCCUGCCCUGGGUCCUUAGUCCGCCUCUACCCUUCAGGGUUAAGUAGAGGACCCCAGGUGAGCUGUCUAGGUGAAGGAGCAGCUGGAUACAUAAAAAGGUUAAUGACUUGGGAAAUUUUGAUGAUUUGUUAUUCUUCUAAGACACUUAAGUGCUCUCCAUCUCUCCAUCUCUGUCUCAGCAGUGGCCCGCGACAUGGCAGGCAGGCACCUGCGGUUUUCACUUCACUAUUGAUGGGAAUAAGAGGUCUUCAGCUAAAGUUUCAGAUUCAGUAAGUUUACAACUUUUUGUUCCCUUAUAAAUGAUAUGCUUGUCUUAGAGGAAUAAUGAUCUAUGCCAGUCUUCAAUAUAUUGGAGUAAUACACAGGUCUUAUUUAAAGGAAAACAUUCUGGUUCCAAUAAUGCUCUAUUUUUAGUGUAUAGCACUUAACUGUAGUACAAAUGUAAGCAUAGUUACUAACAUUUUUUGCUUAUGGUUCUUAAGUAUCUAUAAACCAGAUUAAAAUUUAAAGCAGCAAAAUAAUAAAAUACCAGUGACCACUGAACAUUAUUCAUUGUGACAGAUGACAUAGGACCCUGAAGCCACUUGUGUGUAGGCUCUUGGUGUUUACUGGGUCUGUUCUGUCCUCUGCUGAAGGCACUAAAAUUUGUUUACAAAUUCUUUUCUCACAAGCUCACAAUAGUUACUGAAUACUAGUUGGCACCUUCUCAGUCCAACACAAACAUGGUCCUGAAACCGGGGGGUGGUCCUCAGUGCUGAGGCAGUUGCCCAGAUGAAUCGGAAUGUGCCUACCUAAUUAAAACAACAUACUGGGGCACCUGGGCGGCUCAGUCGGUUAAGCAUCCGACUUCAGCUCAGUUCAUGAUCUCGCGGUUUGGGAGUUGGAGCCCCGCAUCAGGCUCUGUGCUGACAGCUUUCGAUUCUGUGUCUCCCUCUCUCUCUCUGUCCCUCCCCUGCUUGCACUCUGUCUCUCUCUCCUUCAAGAAAUAAAUAAACAUUAAAAAAAAAAAAUUUACCUUUUCUUGAGAAACUUGCUGACCGCAGGUGGAGAAUCAUGAUCUAUAUACUGCAUUAUGAGCUUAGAUUCACACAAGCAUGUGUAUGAAUAUAUGGCUGUCAACGGAAAAAGAUGAACAGAAAGGAUAAUGGAGUAGGAAAGCCGUAUUUAGAACUAAUAUUUUGAUUUGUGUCGUUGCUUUCCUUUGCUUCCACGGUUCCCUGCUUUGAGGCUGUACCUCUUGUUUUCAACAUUUCACUUCAUGGUGGGUGUCCCAGGUGCUAGGAUGCGUGCUCCCUCUUCGUCGGGUCUGUGUUUCGGUCCUGUCGGUGUGGGGUGUGCCAGCCACACACUCUGGGUCCUGGCACAGGGUGGAGGCCCCUCUGCUGUGGUUGCUCUUUCAUCGCUUCUUCCAUUUUGUCUGAGCUCUUGCACUGCACCCACCGUCCCAAUGUGUGGCAUAGGUAAAUGGGUGGUUGACAGGUGAAUUGUUCCUUUCCAGAUUUCUACGCAAUACCCGGUAGUGGACCAUGAAUUUGACGCGGUGGUGGUAGGCGCUGGAGGGGCAGGCUUGCGAGCUGCGUUUGGCCUUUCCGAGGCAGGGUUUAACACGGCCUGCGUCACAAAGCUCUUUCCUACGAGAUCACACACCGUUGCAGCCCAGGUAAGAGAAAGGGGCCCCCUUAAUGGUUUUGGCGCCUGCACAGCAGUGCUCAGUCUUCUGCCACAGGCCUUCUCACUGCACGCCAGCCAUGUUCCUGUCUCUCUGCUCCUUGCACCCACCUGGCUUACUCGCCUUGGGAGUGUGUUCCCACACUGCCUCCACCCCCACUGCCGGAGUCACUCCUAGGGCCUCUUAUCGCUCUGCUGCUCCAGUGACACUCAGGUCUUCUCUGAGCACCCACCUAAUCCUCUGGCCCCCAUCAUAGUUUGUCUUCACUGUACUUUCCCAAUCUAAAAUGAGCCUGUCUCUGGACUGAUUCUCUUGGCCCUGCUGCAUCCUUGGCAUGGGCCUCGUUAAGUAUGAUGAUGAUGAGCUUUGCUGGUGGCAUGAAUGUGCAGGACAGAAGAACAUUGGCCUUUAAAUGCUCAAAAUUUAGGGAAGAGGAUAAAAGUAAGAUGAAAAAGUACACAGUGAUUUUAUAAUUUUGUUUUCUUUCCUGGCACACCGUAGGUGGUACGCAGGUUGUAUAUAGUAUUCCAAAACUGGAAUGAAUUGAACUGUUUUUUCCAGUAUUUGGAACAUAUUUCCUCAUAGAGAUAGCAGAGUGUGGGGUAACUUUCCAGGAACCAGUAAAAGCCACCCUAAUUACUGUUGUAGCCUGUAUUCAGCAUGCAGCAACAUUCUUCAGGCACUUUGCUACACAGAUACUUUGUUCUAAAACUAUGUGUUAUAAACUGAAAAAUAAAUAAUACAUACUUUUGAAGAUUACAUUGUGUCUAAAAGGAAAAAUGGAUGUAAACAUAAGUCUAAAUAAUGAGAAAUAAUAGUAUAUUCAGGUAGUGCAAUAUUAAAACAAUAAAAAGUUAGAAAUGGAUAGCUUACCUUGAAUGCUGGUUGGAGAAAGUAAGGUUUAAUUGGGGGGAUAAGACAGGUGGGGACUGGGCAAGUCUAAAGUGUACUCCUGGGGGGGGCGGGGCACAUGGCUGGCUCAGUCAGUAAAGCGUGCAACUCUUGAUCUCAGAGUCGUGAAUUAGAGCCCUGGGUUGGGUAUAAAGAUUGCUUUUUAUUUUUCUUUGAGUAGGCUCUGUGCCCAGCAUGAGGCCCAGCAUGGGGCUUGAACUCUCGACCCUGAGAUCAAGACCUGAGCUGAGAUCAAGUUGGACACUCAACCGACUGAGCCACUGAGGCGCCCUGAGAUUACUUUAGAAAAACAAAAUUGUAUUUCUUGGGACUCCUGGAAGACCAGCUGUCUGUGGCCCUGAUUCUUACUAGUAGUAGCAAUAAAAUAAUAGCAUGGACAUGUGCACUGGGCCAAGUAUUUAGUGUUAUUUUAAACUAGGUUUCUCUCUUCUGCUACUACUCUGGUACUUAACAGUUUUUACUAGGACUGUGUUUGGGUUUACAAUCGGUGGGGUCGGAGAAGGAGGAGGAAAUAACUUGUGACUUUUGCUGCUUGUCUUGUUAGGGUUCCUGGCUUUGUGCUGGUGACUCUUUUCUUGAUAACUGAAACAUAAUGGGAAACUGAGGCACAGCAGCACCAAGCGGGGAAAGAAUUCCUGCAUGGGUCUGCUUGACUCAGAAGCUUGAUUGAGGAACAUUUGCAAAAAAGAGGGAAGUCAGAAAAUGUGCCUUUUCUUCUCAAAAAGAGAUGAGUAAUCCGGUUUUAAGUUGCGGAGGAAAAGUGUGAGUGUUACAUUUGUCCCUGUACUGCCAUUUUCUGUGACUCUGAGAGACAGACACGGUAGAGAGAAUGUGACUCUGAGUUUAGAGUUUAUUCCUUGACCGUAAGUACUUCUUUAACACAUGUCCAUAAAUGCCACUGGGAACAUUUUGUCAUAAAAUUAUCCCAGAUGGAUUUGCUCAAUACCUUUUAUGUGCCAGGUUUGGAGGUGACGAGCAUUGCUCAUAAAACCGCACUUAACCCUCCAGAUGGCUCUCGAGUUCAGCUUCAUGUCCCUUCAUGGGUAAGGGCACUGAGGCUGAGGGAGGUAAGAUUUGGCGUCUGUCGUGCCUCUCCCUGCUCAGGACGGUCCUGUAACCAACCAGACUGCAGUCAGGUCCCUCACAUGCCGUUGUUGUCAAAAUUAGUUGGUUUUCUCUGAAUCCAGUUUUGGGCAGUGGGUGGAAGGGGGAUGGGCCUGGAAGGUCCAGGGUUCCCUUUCGUAGCUUGUAAGUCUGCCCUGUGUUUACAGGGAGGGAUCAAUGCUGCUCUGGGGAACAUGGAGGAGGACAACUGGAGGUGGCACUUCUACGACACUGUGAAAGGCUCCGACUGGCUGGGGGACCAGGAUGCCAUCCACUACAUGACAGAGCAGGCCCCUGCUUCCGUGGUAGAGGUACUGUCCUUGCAUGGUCUGUUUCUGGUAGAAAAGAGAGGUCGAGGCAAAUGUGGUCAGCCCAAGGAAUGGUAACCAGUUGAUGUAACAAGGGAAAUCUUUCCUAUCAUUAACCAUUCAGUUCAUUUAAUAACAAAGUUUUUCUCUUUUCCUGAAGUGUUGAAAUUUUCAUAGAACGUAUUGGUUUGGGUUUACAGGUUUAUGUUGAAAUUGUUUAGUGUAAAUUAGCGAUGAAUAUCCCGAUUCCUUCAAGGUCCUGGGUGUUUGUUUUCACAUUUCACAGCUGGAGAAUUAUGGCAUGCCAUUCAGCAGAACUGAAGAUGGGAGGAUCUACCAGCGCGCUUUUGGUGGACAGAGCCUCAAGUUUGGGAAAGGCGGGCAGGCCCAUCGGUGCUGCUGUGUGGCUGACCGCACUGGCCACUCGCUGCUGCACACGUUGUAUGGAAGGGUGAGGCCACCCUGGGUGCAUGGGGUGACAGGACAUGGUCUGGUUAGGCCAGGCAUGUGGUGAUGAGCUGGAAACAGGCCACUCUGGGACAGGUCAGAAGGUCAGCAUGUCAGCCCUGGGGUUGCUUAAUAAACAGCAGACUAACAUGGCAGGAUGUAUAUUUGUUAAUUGUUAAUUUGAAAGUGUCUAUUUUAGAAAAUUAAAUUGAUCUGCCAUACCGAAAGUAUAAGAACAGAGCAAGUAUUUUAGGACUCAGCACCUCUGAGUCCCUGAACUAAUUGAUUUAAUACUUAAGUGUUCAAACUGGACUAAGGUUUGGGGGACAGUAGUUACUGGAUAAUCAGGGCCUACUUUGGCAUAGCCAAGUAAUCAAUAUUUGGAAUAACUCUGAUUCAUAAUAUUCAGUAUUCUGAAUUCUUGCUCUCAAAUGGGGACAGAUUCUUGAUUUGCAAAUGUUAGGACCCUGGUGGCAGCUUCGGCUGAGUGCAUUGACACACGUGUGACAGGAUCUGCCCAUCCUGCAGCAUACUGUGUCAUGUUGGGGAGCUGGUGGUUUUGUGAGAGCCCUUCAUGUUUACUGAGCAGCUACAGCAUCUUCUCUGACAUGCAUGACAUGUGUAUGUCCUUCUUAUGGUCUGAUCUGAUCAUACAGCUGAGAGCAGGGUACCUUUCGUGUUGAUCCACAACAGCAUCAGCACUAUGGUUGAUGCAAGUAAAGUCUGUGGCUUCUUUUGCAGCCCAGGGUUUACCCUGUCCAUUUGUUACACACCACAUCAGAGCCCUUGACUUGUUCAUAUGAGCAGUGUUGCUGAAAUGUUAGUUUAACACCCUAAAUGCAAUUGAAACUGUGGGAUUCUUUUUUCUUUCAUGUUUUUUAGUCUCUGCGAUAUGAUACCAGCUAUUUUGUAGAGUAUUUUGCUUUGGAUCUCCUGAUGGAAAAUGGAGAAUGUCGUGGUGUUAUUGCGCUGUGCAUAGAAGACGGGUCCAUCCAUCGCAUAAGAGCAAAGAACACUGUUGUAGCUACUGGGUAGGAGUCUAACUUGUAUUUAGUUUUUCUGCAGGAAAGUUGGGUCUCCGAGUUUCUUUAAAAAAAAAAAAAAUGGAGGCAGUGACCUAACCCAGGAGCAUAAUAAGCUUUGCCAGUCUCAGUUCCAUGUCUCCAAAGGGGACAAUCAUAGCACCUGCCUCAGGUGGGUGAGGAAGUAUCUGUCUUCAGU
rnacentral:lncRNA from 1 species